CGCCUACGGGGGGCAGCAGUGAGGAAUAUUGGUCAAUGGACGAGAGUCUGAACCAGCCAAGUAGCGUGAAGGAUGACUGCCCUAUGGGUUGUAAACUUCUUUUAUAAAGGAAUAAAACGAGGCACGUGUGCCUUUUUGCAUGUACUUUAUGAAUAAGGAUCGGCUAACUCCGUGCCAGCAGCCGCGGUAAUACGGAGGAUCCGAGCGUUAUCCGGAUUUAUUGGGUUUAAAGGGAGCGUAGAUGGGUUGUUAAGUCAGCUGUGAAAGUCCGCGGCUCAACCGUGGAAUUGCAGUUGAAACUGGAG
rnacentral:rRNA from 1 species